CCUACGGGCGGCAGCAGUGAGGAAUAUUGGUCAAUGGACGAGAGUCUGAACCAGCCAAGUAGCGUGAAGGAUGACUGCCCUAUGGGUUGUAAACUUCUUUUAUAUGGGAAUAAAACAGGGUAUGCAUACCCUCUUGUAUGUACCAUAUGAAUAAGGAUCGGCUAACUCCGUGCCAGCAGCCGCGGUAAUACGGAGGAUCCGAGCGUUAUCCGGAUUUAUUGGGUUUAAAGGGCGCGUAGGUGGAUUGUUAAGUCAGUUGUGAAAGUUUGCGGCUCAACCGUAAAAUUGCAGUUGAAACUGGCAGUCGUGAGUACAGUAGAGGUGGGCGGAAUUCGUGGGGUAGCGGUGAAAUGCUGAGAUAUCACGAAGAACUCCGAUUGCGAAGGCAGCUCACUGGACUGCAACUGACACUGAUGCUCGAAAGUGUGGGUAUCAAACAGGAUUAGAUACCCCAGUAGUC
rnacentral:rRNA from 1 species